rnacentral:rRNA from 1 species
GCCCCGUAAUCGGAAUGAGUACACUUUAAAUCCUUUAACAAGGAUCCAUUGGAGGGCAAGUCUGGUGCCAGCAGCCGCGGUAAUUCCAGCUCCAAUAGCGUAUAUUAAAGUUGUUGCGGUUAAAAAGCUCGUAGUUGGUUCUGCGUGCCGCGCUGUCGGUUCGCCGCCUGUCGGUGUAACUGGCAUGUCGCGGCAUGUCCUGUCGGUGGUGAACGGAGUCCACAAUGCUACAUAGGCUUUAUAGCCGAUGUUAGCGUCGUGUGUACUUCCGUUGGCCGAUCUCUCCUACUUCGGUGCUCUUAAACGAGUGUCGAGGUAGGCCGACACGUUCACUUUGAACAAAUUAGAGUGCUUAAAGCAGGCUGAAAUAUAUGCCUGAAUAGUGGUGCAUGGAAUGAUAAAACAGGACCUCGGUUCUAUUUUGUUGGUUUUAGGAAUAUGAGGUAAUGAUCAAUGUGGACUGGCGGGGGCAUUCGUAUUGCGACGUUAGAGGUGAAAUUCUUGGAUCGUCGCAAGACGCACUAGAGCGAAAGCAUUUGCCAAGUAUGUCUUAAUUGAUCAAGAACGAAAGUUAGAGGUUCGAAGGCGAUCAGAUACCGCCCUAGUUCUAACCAUAAACGAUGCCAGCCAGCGAUCCGCCGAUGUUCCUUUAAUGACUCGGCGGGGAGCUUCCACCCGGGAAACCAAAGCUUUUGGGUUCCGGGGGAAGUAUGGUUGCAAAGCUGAAACUUAAAGGA